GUCUGUAAGCUUCUGGCCUUCAUCCAUUUAUAUAUAAUGGGCUGUAACUACUUCUGGAUGCUCUGUGAGGGCAUCUACCUACACACUCUGAUUGUUGUGGCUGUGUUUGCAGAAAAACAGCAUCUUUUGUGGUAUUAUCUUCUAGGAUGGGGUUUUCCACUUGUGCCAGCUGUUAUAUAUUCAAUUGCCCGUUUUUGCUACUACAAUGACAGAUGCUGGGGCAGCUCGGAUACGUCCUUGCUGUAUAUUAUCCAUGCCCCCUUCUGCACUGCUUUAGUGGUAAGGGUUUCU